rnacentral:rRNA from 1 species
GCAAGUCGAGGGGCAGCAUUGGAGUAGCAAUACUCAGAUGGCGACCGGGCGCACGGGUGAGUAACACGUAUCCAACCUGCCGCUUACUCGGGGAUAGCCUUUCGAAAGAAAGAUUAAUACCCGAUGGUAUAAAGAGUUCGCAUGUUCUCUUUAUUAAAGAAUUUCGGUAAGCGAUGGGGAUGCGUUCCAUUAGAUAGUUGGCGGGGUAACGGCCCACCAAGUCUACGAUGGAUAGGGGUUCUGAGAGGAAGGUCCCCCCACAUUGGAACUGAGACACGGUCCAAACUCCUACGGGAGGCAGCAGUGAGGAAUAUUGGUCAAUGGACGAGAGUCUGAACCAGCCAAGUAGCGUGAAGGAUGACUGCCCUAUGGGUUGUAAACUUCUUUUAUAAGGGAAUAAAGUGAGGGACGUGUCCCUUUUUGUAUGUACCUUAUGAAUAAGGAUCGGCUAACUCCGUGCCAGCAGCUGC